CAAACGUUUAAAAAGUUGUUUAUUUCUCAAGAAAACGUUCACGUUUUUAGUCGUGUUUCUACAAGAUUAAAGUGAUUAUAUGUAAACAGAAAAAUAUUUCGGUUUCAUAGCCUAAUUGUUCAUUUUUAGCAAAAAGUACAAAACCAAACAUGAAACAAAAAAAAACACGUCCACCUGUUAGUAGGCUGUUACAGCUCAUAGAUUGAGUAAACGGCAGGAUUCAAUUAGCUUCAACCUUGUUUUCAUCGAUUUAAUCCUUCACAAUAAUCCUUGGCUGUCCAUAGCACUCAAAUAAAUCGAAAAGUUGACAAAAACAAAACAGUGAAAACAACAUUGCGGCUGGAUUUUGCUGAAUGAAAACUCGUUCUGCGCCCGCGUACAAUCUUUUACUAGUCAGCGACGCUUUUCAAUAGGGGAAUUUCUCGAGUUACACGAGGCUAUUUUCUAACUUUAUUUGCAUUUUACUCGUUAGUUUCAUCGGUGACCUAUCUUCAAAUUUUUACCACGAAUUUAUUUUGCGGUAAAUUUUAUAAAUUUUAAAAAAAUCUGUAGUGUGGAAAUUUCGCAAUAAAUUUUUCGCUUUUAAAAAAAUCACACACUACAGAAUUUUUUUAAACUUUCACCACAGUUGCAGAGCAUCAUUCCUUAUUGAUAUAUGAAAUAAAAAAGAUAGGUCACCG